rnacentral:rRNA from 1 species
CCUACGUGGGACAGCAGUGAGGAAUAUUGGUCAAUGGACGAGAGUCUGAACCAGCCAAGUAGCGUGAAGGAUGACUGCCCUACGGGUUGUAAACUUCUUUUAUAAGGGAAUAAAAUGAUGCACGUGUGCCUUUUUGUAUGUACUUUAUGAAAAAGGAUCGGCUAACUCCGUGCCAGCAGCCGCGGUAAUACGGAGGAUCCGAGCGUUAUCCGGAUUUAUUGGGUUUAAAGGGAGCGUAGAUGGAUUGUUAAGUCAGUUGUGAAAGUUUGCGGCUCAACCGUAAAAUUGCAAUUGAAACUGGCAGUCUUGAGUACAGUAGAGGUAUGCGGAAUUCGUGGUGUAGCGGUGAAAUGCUUAGAUAUCACGAAGAACUCCGAUUGCGAAGGCAGCUCACUGGACUGCAACUGACACUGAGGCUCGAAAGUGUGGGUAUCAAACAGGAUUAGAUACCCGGGUAGUC